rnacentral:rRNA from 1 species
AAGCUCGUAGUUGAAUUUCGGGAUUGACACAUCGGUCGUGCCCUAAGGGGUACGAACUGGUGUAGUCAAUUUCUCACCUUCUGGGGAACCGCGCUGUCCUUAAUUGGGUGACGCGGGGAACCAGGACCUUUACUUUGAAAAAAUUAGAGUGUUUAAAGCAGGCAUUUUGCUUGAAUACAUUAGCAUGGAAUAAUAAAAUAGGACGGCAUGAUUCUAUUUUGUUGGUUUCUAGGAUCACCGUAAUGAUUAAUAGGGAUAGUUGGGGGCAUUAGUAUUCAAUUGUCAGAGGUGAAAUUCUUGGAUUUAUUGAAGACUAACUACUGCGAAAGCAUUUGCCAAGGAUGUUUUCAUUAAUCAAGAACGAAAGUUAGGGGAUCGAAGACGAUCAGAUACCCUCGUAGUCUUAACCAUAAACUAUGCCGACUAGGAAUCAGACGAUGUUAAUUUUUUAAUGACUCGUUUGGCACCUUACGGGAAACCAAAGUGUUUGGGUUCCGGGGGGAGUAUGGUCGCAAGGCUGAAACUUAAAGGAAUUGACGGAAGGGCACCACCAGGGGUGGAGCCUGCGGCUUAAUUUGACUCAACACGGGAAAACUUACCAGGUCCAGACAUAGUAAGGAUUGACAGAUUGAGAGCUCUUUCUUGAUUCUAUGGGUG